UGGGCCCUGAGGAAGGCAGGCAAUCUACCUAGCUGUGUGUGUGCACGUGGGUGUUGACAGACACCCGGGAUAGAUGACAGGUGCACGGCACUGCACACAUAGGCACGUGUGUCUACAGGAUUCCUCCUGCUGUGUCAGCUCUGCCACUGGUUCCGAGUGCUCGUGCCCAUGUGCAUCUUACACGCCCCAGCUUCUUCCCCUCAAGCGGAGAGCCAGAUGGCCGAACGUUCACAAGCAAGAGAACAGUAUUGGUGAAGACCACGAUGGCUGAACUCGAGUGUAACAGGAAAACAGCGCUUGGCUUUUCCUUCCCGGGAAGAAGAGACCAAGCUGUCAUUUCCAAGCUGCAGAAACCAGGACGGACUCAGCAGACACCGACGGGGAACAGCGCCAGGCAAGGGAAGCGGGGCAAAGUGGGAAGGCGAGAGUCCGCAGGGGUCAGAGACCACGGGCCAAGGAAGGUCUUUCCCGCCCUGACUCAGUGCGUGCGGCAAGGAAACGAGAGCCCCAGAGACCCCGCAGCGAGGUCCCGGCCGGCUGCCCGAGGCGCACAGCGGCACCCGCAGAGUGAAGUGUGCUUCUCCACACUUCUGCGGUCCCCAGGCUCCUCUGACCUCUGCGCAGGGCGAGAAGAGGAAACCGCCGCUGCCCCCACGCUCAGCAUCUCACCUGCGUAGGGUGCAGGUGCUUCUGCACCGCUCCCUGGAAGGACUACAGGGAGCAGGAAAAAGGCGAGCAGCAGCCAGCCAGCAAGGAGGUGCAACCUGUGACAAGUUAGUUAGACUGCCUGAGCGCCUACAGAUUGGUAAGAAUAUCGCCAUUGACACAGAAAUAUCAAUAGUCAGUGCACAGUACGAAAUGGCUCCGUUCAUGACCAGGG
rnacentral:lncRNA from 1 species